UACUAUUACAGUCCUUUUAGAAUUUUCUAGCAGGCUUUCCGGUCUAUGAUGGAAAGCACUC
rnacentral:snRNA from 1 species